CAUACUUAUAAGAAAAGAAAAGAAAACAAACAUACAGAAUUGCCUCCCAUUCGUGUGCGCGUUGUUCAGAUUCAGCCUCCUCUUCUCGGCGGAGCUGGAGUCCUUCAAUGCUUCCAUGGCGGCGCACUCUCUCUAUCGGAGUCCAAGUAGUCCAAGAUGAUCAGAAAGUUGCAGACUCUUGCUUCUGAUGAAUGAAAUGGUGGAUGGAGUUGAAGGGAUUUCUAUUCAGAGGGAAACAAACUCAUUUGGAGUUAGAAUUAGCACAAGGGAGAGAAACUGGGAAAUCGUCUUCAAGCUUCAGCAUGCUGCAAACACUUGACUGCCUGUGCUUUCAAUAAUUGGGAGGGUACUGUGGACCACUUUGCCUUCGAAGUGAAGCUCGUAUAAGGAGGGAAACUGGGAAAUUGUCUUGAAGCUUCAGCUUGCUGCAAAAACUUGCCUGUUAAUUAAUAACUAGAAAUGGAUAGGGUAAAGGUUCUUGUUAUUUUGGCUAUAAGGAGAGCGAUUCUUGAGGAUCUCUAACUUCCACAGCUGAGAAGUAAAUAAAGUGUCGCGGCUAAGGAAGGUUAAAAAAACCCGCCCUGCUAAAUAGUGGCAGGUACAAAGGGUUGCUUAAAAAUGCCGCUGAAUGCAUUCGGUUGAAAUUAACUGCAUCAUUUUUGAAACUGCUGCUAAUUGACUUAAGGAGGUCCAAAACCCCGCUAGACGUAGCAAAAAAUGUGUUUUUUGUAGUGAUGUAUAUGCUUCACCUCAUUUUAGAUGUAUUAGGUUCGCCUCAUACUAACAUACAGUAAGAAAUGUACUGAUUGACUUAGAUCAGUAACUUUACCCCAUGCUUACUAUACCUAUAACACCUUUCUUUCCUUAUAUCUCUUAGAAGUUUUAUGGUGGGAGUCCCAUAGAAAUAGUAGUUGAAAUUUGUUCUAUGAGAAACUUAUGGAAGUCCUAAAACAUUUAAUCCAGAACAAGAAUGAAUAUUGUAUGGAGGUAAAGAAAUUUGGUUGUUAUCCAAUUCAUUUUAAUAUAUUUUCUAUGGCUACUAUGCAGGUGACUCCCAAAACAUUGACUGAUGUAAAGGGUGGCACUUUGAUUUCCCAUGAAGGAAGGGAACUUGCAUGUAAUUUUUCUUUAUUUUGAUGUUACGUAUCAAUAAAUUUUCUAAAUCACCAAAACAUUGUUUCAUUGUACCAGUUUAGCUUGUAAUUAAACAUUUCAUAUAUUAGUUUUAGUGGGUGGAAAUAUGAUGUGCAAACGAUGAAGAGUUGAAUAUUGGAUCAUUUAAGUGAUUAAAUUUCA